UACGAAGGGGGCUAGCGUUGUUCGGAAUUACUGGGCGUAAAGUGUGCGUAGGCGGUGGUCCAAGUCUGGUGUGAAAUCUCCCGGCUUAACUGGGAGGGUGCGCCGGAAACUGGGCCGCUGGAGUACGGGAGAGGCAAGCAGAAUUCCAGGUGUAGCGGUGAAAUGCGUAGAUAUCUGGAGGAAUACCGGUGGCGAAGGCGGCAUCCUGGACCGACAUUGACGCUGAGGAGCGAAAGCUAGGGGAGCAAACGGG
rnacentral:rRNA from 1 species